rnacentral:rRNA from 1 species
AACGAACGCUGGCGGCAGGCCUAACACAUGCAAGUCGAGCGGCAGCGCGGGGGCAACCCUGGCGGCGAGCGGCGGACGGGUGAGGAAUGCGUCGGAAUCUGCCUUUUUGUGGGGGAUAACGUAGGGAAACUUACGCUAAUACCGCAUACGACCUACGGGUGAAAGUGGGGGACCGCAAGGCCUCACGCAGAAAGAUGAGCCGACGCCGGAUUAGCUAGUGGGCGGGGUAAAGGCCCACCAAGGCGACGAUCCGUAGCUGGCCUGAGAGGAUGAUCAGCCAAACUGGAACUGAGACACGGUCCAGACUCCUACGGGAGGCAGCAGUGGGGAAUAUUGGACAAUGGGCGCAAGCCUGAUCCAGCCAUGCCGCGUGUGUGAAGAAGGCCUUCGGGUUGUAAAGCACUUUUGUCCGGAAAGAAAAGCUUCCGAUUAAUACUCGGGAGUUAUGACGGUACCGGAAGAAUAAGCACCGGCUAACUUCGUGCCAGCCGCCGCCGUAAUAC